rnacentral:tRNA from 1 species
UGGGGUGUCGCCAAGUGGUAAGGCACCGGGUUUUGAUCCCGGCAUUCGUAGGUUCGAAUCCUACCACCCCAGCCA